AACGAACGUUGGCGGCGUGGAUUAGGCAUGCAAGUCGUACGAGUUUCAUCUGGGUAACUGGAUGAAAAAAGUGGCGAAAGGGGCAGUAAGGCAUGGAUAAUCUACCCUGAUGACCGGGAUAGCUGUCCCAACGGGCAGGUAAUACCGGAUGAGCUGGUGGGGCCGCAUGGUUCUGCCGGGAAAGGCGCACGCCGUGGCGGGGGGAAGCCAUGUGUUAUUAGCUAGUUGGUGAGGUAAAGGCCCACCAAGGGGAAGAUGUCUAGCGGGUGUGAGAGCACGAGCCGCGCCAUAGGGACACAGACACUGGCCAGACUCCUACGGGGGGCUGCAGUGGAGGAUCUUCGGCAAUGGGGGAGAGACUGACCGAGCGACGCCGCGUGAGCGAUGAAGGCCAUUAGGUUGUAAAGCUCUGUCGAGGGGGAACAAGCCGCAAGGUGGAGGGAUCCCUGGAGGAAGCACGGGCUAAGUUCGUG
rnacentral:rRNA from 1 species